ACUCAUUGGCAGCAGUGAGAAGAAACACGGGACUGCAAUUCUGAACACCUGGGUAGAGAUUCCAGGGGCUACAACUGGAGGGAAGAGCAAGGAGCACAUCGUGAAAGCUGAACAUCAAAGAUUGUAUCUCUAAAAAGCAAGCUGAGGAAAUAAUGACUGUAUAUGAGGAAAGACAACUGGAGGAAGCAGGGAGGAAGAGAGAGAAGCCAAAAAUAUUUUGGGGAUAAAUCAGAAGCAUGAGUUUCCUUGAGAAGAAAAAUCAUUUGUUUUAAAAUCUGAGAUAAUUGAGAAAGAACUAAGUUUUAAAAGAGCAUGUACCUCAUGGACAAAUACUCUCUAACAAAUGGAUUGUCUUGAAAUGCCCUAUAAUGAUCAGAUAUUUAGAUACCACUUAGGGAUUUCUUAAGUAAAAUAAACCUUUUC
rnacentral:lncRNA from 13 species